CAAUAGCGUAUAUUUAAGUUGCUGCAGUUAAAAAGCUCGUAGUUAGAUUUCGGGUGGGAAUGGCCGGUCCGCCGUUUCGGUGUGCACUUGCUACGCCCACCUUGCUGCCGGGGACGUGCUCUUGAGUUCACGCUCGGGACACGGAGUCGGCGAGGUUACUUUGAGUAAAUUAGAGUGUUCAAAGCAGGCCUACGCUCUGAAUACAUUAGCAUGGAAUAACACGAUAGGACUCUGGCCUAUCUUGUUGGUCUGUAGGACCGGAGUAAUGAUUAAGAGGGACAGUCGGGGGCAUUCGUAUUUCAUUGUCAGAGGUGAAAUUCUUGGAUUUAUGAAAGACGAACUACUGCGAAAGCAUUUGCCAAGGAUGUUUUCAUUAA
rnacentral:rRNA from 1 species